UGGACGUCGAGAUGCUGAAGCCCUCCGCCGUGAACUGGCUGCCGGAGGCCUCGACGAGGGACGGUGCAGCGAUCGGCUUCGUGAAGUCCAGGGUCAUGCUCCGCGGAGGCGGAGGGAUCGGGGGCUGAGGCGGCUUGGCCGGGGUGAGGGCGACGGCCCGCGGCGCUGGCUCCACUGCCGGGGCGAGGCUCGGGCCGCGACGGAAUCGGGCGUGGCCGGUGCGGUCGAGGAUAGAGAUGACCUUCUUGAACUUGGAGACGGUGAGAUCAGUGAUCUCGCGGCAGUCGAGCUGCGGCGACUGUUGGUGAUGGUGGGAGAGUUGGGAGAGAAGGUGCU
rnacentral:lncRNA from 1 species